GGGGCCGUGACGAAUGGCUCAGAAAAGAGGGUGCUGUGAGAAACUGGAGCUGCUCUGGCGGAGUGGGUGAGAGACUGAGGAACCAGCAUGAAGUCCAGGGCUGGUGGCACCGUGAUGCACAGGGUGGAACCGCUGUGCUGCUCCCCCUGGGAAGGCCAAGAUGUACAUGGGUCAAUCAGAGCAAGGGCUGUAUGUGGGAUGGCUCUGCUCACUGUGACAUCCCCCCCCUGCUCCUGGUGCUGUGGGGCCCACUGACAGGGUUCUCAGCACCUGCAGGAGGACACGAGGAGAGAGAACAUCCCUGAUGUGCAUCCUGCACCUUGCUCGCCCAAGGCCAGGGCAGCUCCACCAGCAGCUCCUCGCUGACCCUUCCUGCACCCUGCUCCCUCAGCCCCAGCUCUCCAUCCUCAGCCCCAGGGAUGGAUCCUGCUGUCCUGCUGCCCACAGCAGGGUCCGGCCGGCAGCCUGCAGGGGACGGGCCUGGCAGGCUCCAGCAGCAGGAGGGCUCAUGCAUUACAAUCCAGUACAAUCUGUCCCCCUUCCCGCUGCCCAGCAGUAGGGGAGACGGUUACUGUUUAAUCCCAUUUGACAGCUCUUUCAUCAUCUGCCUGCCUCCCUCCAGCUUCCCCGUGGUUCCUCCAAGGCUCCUUUGUGGCCAUAAUCAAAGCCUGCCGGAGGGAGCGGGUGACUCAGGGGAAUCAGCUCAUGGCUUCCCAAAGCCUUUUACGUCAAGGCCAGCAGCUCGAUGCCAGUGGCACAGAAGAUGUUGUCACUCGACGCCGGGUCAGCAGCCUCGAGCCAGAGGGUGA
rnacentral:lncRNA from 1 species